UGAGUGGCUAGUUGCAAAGAC
rnacentral:piRNA from 1 species